rnacentral:snRNA from 1 species
AGCUUUGCGCAGUGGCAGUAUCGUAGCCAAUGAGGUUUAUCCGAGGCGCGAUUAUUGCUAAAAAAAAAAAAAAAAAUCAACAACAACAAAGGCCCUUAAAGCUGGGCUUUUCAAAGGGCACUGAAGUCC